UACGGAGGGUGCAAGCGUUGUUCGGAUUUACUGGGCGUAAAGCGCGCGCAGGCGGGUGAACAAGUCGGAAGUGAAAUCCCAGGGCUCAACCCUGGGGCUGCUCCCGAAACGGUUCGCCUAGGGACUGGUAGAGGCUGGUAGAAUUCCCGGUGUAGCGGUGGAAUGCGUAGAUAUUGGGAAGAACACCGGUGGCGAAGGCGGCGAGCUGGUCCGUAUCUGACGCUGAGGCGCGACAGCGUGGGGAGCAAACAGG
rnacentral:rRNA from 1 species